rnacentral:misc_RNA from 1 species
AUCAUUGAAAAUUGCAGGAUUCAUUGACCUUAAGAAUCCUCCAUUUUUAGUUUGUAGCAAAUUUCCAAGGCCUUCUCCAAGAGGAGGCAAUUGGUAAGGGUCUUCUAGAGGCAUAUCAAUUGGGCUUCCAAAACCACAAGAGCUUUUUGGAGGAGAACAUUCAAAUGACUUCUCAUUCAAGCCCCAUUCACGCAUCAAAGCCUCUGUCUCCAAGUCCUCCAACAUGGAAGCUCUUGUUUUGUUACUUGUUUCCUCAAUUGCUAUCUUGGGUUUCUCCUCAUACAAUUGUGCAGAAGAUGAGUAACCGAAAUUCUCAGAGAUGUUCCUCCAUUGAGAUACACUUGGAGCAUCAAUGGCAAAUUCUUCAAUGUCCAUAUCAAGGUUAAACAAAGAACACCCACCAGCUAGAAUGUCCUUCUCAAAUUGCCUCAAUAAUCG